rnacentral:rRNA from 1 species
AUACGUAGGGGGCUAGCGUUAUCCGGAAUUACUGGGCGUAAAGGGUGCGUAGAUGGUUUCUUAAGUCAGAAGUGAAAGGCUACGGCUCAACCGUAGUAAGCUUUUGAAACUAAGAGACUUGAGUGCAGGAGAGGAGAGUAGAAUUCCUAGUGUAGCGGUGAAAUGCGUAGAUAUUAGGAGGAAUACCAGUUGCGAAGGCGGCUCUCUGGACUGUAACUGACACAGAGGCACGAAAGCGUGGGGAGCAAACAGGAUUAGAUACCCUGGUAGUCCACGCCGUAAACGAUGAGUACUAGCUGUCGGGGGUUACCCCCCUCGGUGGCGCAGCUAACGCAUUAAGUACUCCGCCUGGGAAGUACGCUCGCAAGUGUGAAACUCAAAGGAAUUGACGGGG